GGAACUGAAACAUCUAAGUACCCGUAGGAAUAGACAUCAACCGAGAUUCCGUUAGUAGCGGCGAGCGAAAGCGGAGGAGCCCAAACCAUACUGGCUUCGGCUGGAAUGGGGUUGUAGGACUCAUAUAAGGAAACAAAGAGAUAGUAGAAUGGCACUGGAAAGGCCAACCACAGGGGGUGAAAGUCCCGUAUACGAAAUCAAUUUGGUUCCGAUGAGUAUCCUGAGUACUGCGGGACACGAGAAAUCCUGUAGGAAUCUGGGAGGCCCACCUCCCAAGGCUAAAUACUCUUGACGACCGAUAGUGAACAAGUACCGUGAGGGAAAGGUGAAAAGAACCCCGGGAGGGGAGUGAAAAGAACAUGAAACCGUAAGCUUACAAGCAGUAGAAGGACGACUUAUAACGUCUGCCUGCGUGCCUGUUGAAGAAUGAGCCGGCGACUUGUAUUUGGUGGCAUGGUUAAGGUAAGAAAUACCGGAGCCAUAGUGAAAGCGAGUCUGAAUAGGGCGUUAUGUCACCAAUUACGGACCCGAACCCGGAUGAUCUAACCAUGACCAGGAUGAAGCUUCGGUAAUACUAAGUGGAGGUCCGAACUGACUGAUGUUGAAAAAUCAGCAGAUGAGUUGUGGUUAGGGGUGAAAUGCCAAUCGAAUUCGGAGCUAGCUGGUUCUCCCCGAAAUGUGUUUAGGCGCAGCGGUUAGUGUUAUAGCUUAGGGGUAAAGCACUGUUUCGGUGCGGGCUGGUAAUUCGGUACCAAAUCGACGCAAACUCUGAAUACUAAGUGUAUAGCUAACCAGUAAGACUAUGGGGGAUAAGCUCCAUUGUCAAGAGGGAAACAGCCCAGAUCACCAGCUAAGGCCCCUAAAUAAUUGCUAAGUGAUAAAGGAGGUGGGAAGACUUAGACAACCAGGAGGUUUGCUUAGAAGCAGCAAUCCUUUAAAGAGUGCGUAAUAGCUCACUGGUCGAGUAAUCCUGCGCCAAAAAUGAAUGGGACUAAGUAAUUUGCCGAAGCUGUGAGAUAUUAAAAAAAUAUAUAUUAUAUAUCGGUAGGGGAGCGUUCUGUUAUAGAUUGAAGCGUUAGCGUAAGCGGGCGUGGACGAAACAGAAGUGAGAAUGUCGGCUUGAGUAGCGAAAACAUAGGUGAGAAUCCAAUGCCCUGAAAACCUAAGGUUUCCUCCGGAAGGCUCGUCCACGGGGGGUAAGUCAGGACCUAAGGCGAGGCUGAAAAGCGUAGUCGAUGGACAAUAGGUUUUAUUCCUAUACUAUUCUUUAUUGGCAACGAGGGACGAAGAAAGCUAAACUAGCCAACUAAUGGUUAUUGGUUUAAAUGUACAAGGUGUUGAGAAGUAGAGAAAAUACUUUGAGCUAAGUCAUGAAUACGGAAUAACGUGCGCGUUAUAUGAAGUAGUUGAUGUUAUGCUUCCAAGAAAAGCUUGCACUGUCAUAAAUAAAGAAUACCUGUACCCUAAACCGACACAGGUAGGUUGGUAGAGUAUACCAAAGGGCGCGAGAUAACUCUCUCUAAGGAACUCGGCAAAAUAGCCCUGUAACUUCGGGAAAAGGGGUACCUUUUAGGUUGCAAUAACAAGGUCCAAGCGACUGUUUACCAAAAACACAGGUCUCCGCUAAGUUGUAAAACAACGUAUGGGGGCUGACGCCUGCCCAGUGCCGGAAGGUUAAAGAAGUUGGUUAGUUUAUGACGACGCUAAUAACUGAAGCCCCGGUGAACGGCGGCCGUAACAAUAACGGUCCUAAGGUAGCGAAAUUCCUUGUCGGGUAAGUUCCGACCUGCACGAAUGGCGUAACGACUUCCCCGCUGUCUCCAACAUAGACUCAGUGAAAUUGAAUUCCCCGUGAAGAUGCGGGGUUCCUGCGGUUAGACGGAAAGACCCCGUGCACCUUUACUAUAUGCAACUAUUGUAAUUCAAAGAUUUUAGUGUAGAAUAGGUGGGAGCUUGUGAUUUAAUUUCUACGGAGAUUAUUUAGGCGUUAGUGAAAUACCACCCAAAAAUUUGUUGGUUUACUAACUUACGGACAGUGGUUGCUGGGUAGUUUGACUGGGGCGGUCGCCUCCUAAAAGGUAACGGAGGCGUACAAAGGUUUCCUCAGAUCGGUCAGAAAUCGAUCGAAGAGUGUAAAGGCAAAAGGAAGCUUGACUGUGAGACUUACAAGUCGAACAGAGACGAAAGUCGGUCUUAGUGAUCUGGCGAUAUUGAGUGGAAAAGUCGUCACUCAACGGAUAAAAGUUACUCUAGGGAUAACAGGCUGAUCUCCCCCAAGAGUUCACAUCGACGGGGAGGUUUGGCACCUCGAUGUCGGCUCAUCGCAUCCUGGGGCGGUAGUACGUCCCAAGGGUUGGGCUGUUCGCCCAUGAAAGCGGUACGUGAGCUGGGUUCAGAACGUCGUGAGACAGUUCGGUCCAUAUCCGGUGUAGGCGUUAGAGUAUUGAGAGGAUUCUUCUUUAGUACGAGAGGACCGAGAAGAACAUGCCGCUGGUGUACCAGUUAUCAUACCAAUGGUAAACGCUGGGUAGCCACGCAUGGAAAGGAUAACCGCUGAAAGCAUCUAAGUGGGAAGCUCACCUCAAGAUGAGUACUCUCAUUGUGAAAACAAGUAAGAUCACGGCAAGACUAGCCGUUUAAAUAGGCAUCAAGUAGAAGUGUAGUAAUAUAUUAAGCUGAGAUGUACUAAUAGAUCGAGGACUUGAACUA
rnacentral:rRNA from 1 species